rnacentral:rRNA from 1 species
UGAGGGGAUAUUGGGCAAUGGGGAAGCCCUGACCCAGCGACGCCGCGUGAGGGAAGACGGUCUUCGGAUUGUAAACCUCUGUCUUUGGGGACGAAAAAGGGACGGUACCCAAGGAGGAAGCUCCGGCUAACUACGUGCCAGCAGCCGCGGUAAUACGUAGGGAGCGAGCGUUGUCCGGAAUUACUGGGUGUAAAGGGAGCGUAGGCGGGAUUGCAAGUUGGAUGUGAAAACUGCGGGCUCAACCCGGAGAGUGCAUUCAAAACUGCGAUUCUUGAGUGAAGUAGAGGCAAGCGGAAUUCCUAGUGUAGCGGUGAAAUGCGUAGAUAUUAGGAGGAACACCAGUGGCGAAGGCGGCUUGCUGGGCUUUUACUGACGCUGAGGCUCGAAAGUGUGGGGAGCAAACAGGAUUAGAUACC